AACGCAUAUUGCGCUCUCUGGUAUUCCGGAGAGCAUGCUUGUUUGAGUAUCAGUAAACACCUCAACUCCUUUUUCUUUUUUGAAAUUGGAGCUGGACUUGAGUGAUCCCAACGCUUUCUUCCAAGAAAGUGGCGGGUUGCUUGAAAUGCAGGUGCAGCUGAACUUUUCUCUGAGCUAUAAGCAUAUCUAUUUAGUCUGCCUAAAAAACAGAUUAUUACCUUUGCUGCAGCUAACAUAAAGGAGACUAGUUCUUGUGCUGACUGAUGCAGGAUUCACAGAGACAGCUUCGGCUGACUUUGUAAACUCGAUCUCAAAUCAAGUAAGACUACCCGCUGAACUUAA
rnacentral:misc_RNA from 1 species